UUUUUUCAGUUCAAUCAAAUGCCUGGUAGGAAUUGCUAGCGUUGCCCCUGCCAACUCUCAGGAUUAACUUCUUGGAGAAGAUGUUUCCUUGCGGGUUUCUGAAGUGCUGCCAUUAGAGAAGCGAUCUGAAGACUUCUGUGGAAUAGGAGAUCUAGCCCAGCUUUAGAAGAGCCGAGAAUCAUGUUCUUGGUCUUUUGCUUUCAGAGCCAAGUGACAGGCACCCGUACAGUGGCCACCUGAGUUUGACUAGAGGAGCCCUUCGGCUCCCACUUGCUCUGUUACCUUGUAAAGCAGAAUAGCAUCCUGUAUUUAGUGCUGGCUGAAAAAAUUCUAGAUUCCAUCAGUACACCUAAAGAAUUGCAGUUCAGAAUACUCAUGACAUUCUGUGGCCCAACUGCCUGCGCUCUCGGCCCCCGGAGGCAGGACCCCCAAGUUCCACCAAGCACCCUGGGUGCCCACCCUCACUGAGGAGUUCAAUGAAACCUCUAAGGUGGGCCAGGAUUCAGUAGCCUCCAGGUUCCCUUCUCUGCAUUCCCUUCAUUACUAAGAAUACAGAUUCUUCUUCAAGGCUG